rnacentral:sRNA from 11 species
GUCAAUAACUCAGCCCUAAAGGGACUGAGCUUGUAAGAAAUCAAGACUUACGUGUUUGACUAGCUCAUUGAGACGCAAUUUGGUACGAACUUCCGAAUACUUCUCUAGUUCGGAUUAUCUUCA